UACGUAGGUGGCAAGCGUUGUUCGGAAUUAUUGGGCGUAAAGGGCGCGUAGGCGGUUUGUUAAGUCAGCUGUGAAAGCCCGGGGCUCAACCCCGGAGAGUCGGCUGAUACUGGCAAACUUGAGUACGGAAGAGGUAGCUGGAAUUCCCGGUGUAGCGGUGAAGUGCGUAGAUAUCGGGAGGAACACCUGAGGCGAAGGCGGGCUACUGGGCUGAUACUGACGCUGAGGCGCGAAAGCUAGGGGAGCAAACAGG
rnacentral:rRNA from 1 species